rnacentral:rRNA from 1 species
UGGAUUAGUGGCGAACGGGUGAGUAACACGUGAGUAACCUGCCCUUGACUCUGGGAUAAGCCUGGGAAACUGGGUCUAAUACCGGAUAUGACCUUCCAUCGCAUGGUGGUUGGUGGAAAGCUUUUGUGGUUUUGGAUGGACUCGCGGCCUAUCAGCUUGUUGGUGGGGUAAUGGCCUACCAAGGCGACGACGGGUAGCCGGCCUGAGAGGGUGACCGGCCACACUGGGACUGAGACACGGCCCAGACUCCUACGGGAGGCAGCAGUGGGGAAUAUUGCACAAUGGGCGGAAGCCUGAUGCAGCGACGCCGCGUGAGGGAUGACGGCCUUCGGGUUGUAAACCUCUUUCAGUAGGGAAGAAGCGAGAGUGACGGUACCUGCAGAAGAAGCGCCGGCUAACUACGUGCCAGCAGCCGCGGUAAUACGUAGGGCGCAAGCGUUAUCCGGAAUUAUUGGGCGUAAAGAGCUCGUAGGCGGUUUGUCGCGUCUGCCGUGAAAGUCCGGGGCUCAACUCCGGAUCUGCGGUGGGUACGGGCAGACUAGAGUGAUGUAGGGGAGACUGGAAUUCCUGGUGUAGCGGUGAAAUGCGCAGAUAUCAGGAGGAACACCGAUGGCGAAGGCAGGUCUCUGGGCAUUAACUGACGCUGAGGAGCGAAAGCAUGGGGAGCGAACAGGAUUAGAUACCCUGGUAGUCCAUGCCGUAAACGUUGGGCACUAGGUGUGGGGGACAUUCCACGUUUUCCGCGCCGUAGCUAACGCAUUAAGUGCCCCGCCUGGGGAGUACGGCCGCAAGGCUAAAACUCAAAGGAAUUGACGGGGGCCCGCACAAGCGGCGGAGCAUGCGGAUUAAUUCGAUGCAACGCGAAGAACCUUACCAAGGCUUGACAUGAACCGGACCGGGCUGGAACAGUCUUUCCCCUUGUGGGCUGGUUUACAGGUGGUGCAUGGUUGUCGUCAGCUCGUGUCGUGAGAUGUUGGGUUAAGUCCCGCAACGAGCGCAACCCUCGUUCUAUGUUGCCAGCACGUGAUGGUGGGGACUCAUAGGAGACUGCCGGGGUCAACUCGGAGGAAGGUGGGGACGACGUCAAAUCAUCAUGCCCCUUAUGUCUUGGGCUUCACGCAUGCUACAAUGGCCGGUACAAAGGGUUGCGAUACUGUGAGGUGGAGCUAAUCCCAAAAAGCCGGUCUCAGUUCGGAUUGGGGUCUGCAACUCGACCCCAUGAAGUCGGAGUCGCUAGUAAUCGCAGAUCAGCAACGCUGCGGUGAAUACGUUCCCGGGCCUUGUACACACCGCCCGUCAAGUCACGAAAGUUGGUAACACCCGAA